rnacentral:rRNA from 1 species
AUGGCUCAGGAUGAACGCUAGCGACAGGCCUAACACAUGCAAGUCGAGGGGCAGCACAAGGAGCAAUCUGAGGUGGCGACCGGCGCACGGGUGAGUAACACGUAUGCAACCUGCCUGUAAGCGGGGAAUAACCCGUUGAAAGACGGACUAAUACCGCAUAAUACUAAAUUACUGCAUGGUAAUUUAUUUAAACAUUUAUGGCUUACAGAUGGACCCGCGUCUGAUUAGCUAGUUGGAGAGGUAACGGCUCACCAAGGCGACGAUCAGUAGCCGACCUGAGAGGGUGAUCGGCCACAUUGGGACUGAGACACGGCCCAAACUCCUACGGGAGGCAGCAGUGGGGAAUAUUGCACAAUGGGGGGAAACCCUGAUGCAGCAACGCCGCGUGAAGGAAGACGGUUUUCGGAUUGUAAACUUCUAUCGACGGGGAAGAAAAAAUGACAGUACCCGAGUAAGAAGCCCCGGCUAACUACGUGCCAGCCGCGGC